GGAAUAUUGCGCAAUGGAGGAAACUCUGACGCAGCAACGCCGCGUGCAGGAAGAAGGCCCUUUGGGUCGUAAACUGCUGUAGCAGGGGAAUAACGGUCUCCCACGGGGAGACAUGAAGGUACCCUGAAAGUAAGCUCCGGCUAACUACGGUCCAGCAGCCGCGGUAAUACGUAGGGAGCAAGCGUUGUCCGGAUUCACUGGGUGUAAAGGGUGCGUAGGCGGGACAAUAAGUCAGUGGUGAAAUCUUACGGCUCAACCGUGAAACUGCCAUUGAUACUGUUGUUCUUGAGUUCGGGAGAGGUUGAUGGAAUUCCAGGUGUAGCGGUGAAAUGCGUAGAUAUCUGGAAGAACACCAGUGGCGAAGGCGGUCAACUGGCCCGAAACUGACGCUGAGGCACGAAAGCGUGGGUAGCGAA
rnacentral:rRNA from 1 species